UAUUUGUGCGAGAAUGCAGAAAGCAGGU
rnacentral:piRNA from 1 species